UCCUCAUUCUUCGGUUCUCUUGGCGAUCAUUUCCCUGACCAGCUGUCUCCUACCGCACCAGGGAGGGUAAUGGUCCUUGAUGGUCGCUUGUCUCCUGUGCACCUUCUGGCUGCUCCCAGUCUGUAGAUGUUUAGAUCAUCAGACCCCCGCCGGUGAACAGCGUCUCUUGAAGAGAAACUUCAAUUCCCCUCUCCCUGGGCAAAGGCGAACAAACCCCUGACUAAAGUUACAUUAAAAAUGUUAGAAGUUGUAUAAUUUCCAACAAUCCCUCCAACUUAAAUUGUGUUGCAAAGGCAGUAACUUUUGUCACAAAGUCACAACAACGGCAGAAGGGGACGAUGUCUUGAAUUUUUAAAUCAGCCCUCACAGAAAAGAGCACUUUCAGUUUGAAGUACAGCGCAAAUGAGUUAAAAAACACAACGGCCUGCAAAUUACCAUCAGAAGUGCCUUCUUUGGUAGUAUCUUGCAAACCUUUCAGCUCCUUUGCAACACAGGAAAAGCUGGCUUUGGGUAACUAAAGUAGUCAUCAGUGCUAACAUGCACUCUUUGCUUCUCCCUGACUAACACCUGAGGGAAACUUCUGGGAAUACGGUCCCAGUUCUAACUGGUUUAUCAGCCCAGAUGACGGAUACAGGAGAUAACAUUCAAGGUGUGGUUAGAUAAUAAGGAAAAGACCACUGAGUGGCUCCCUGCCUUCAGACGGAGCUAUUUCCCCAUUUCCAUCUCUGAUUCUCUGCUUCCAGCUGUGUGUCCCUGCUGCUUUCUUUAUGAUGUCUUAUGUGUUCUUGAUAAAGCAAGCUGACACACUAACAGCAAAUACAAGUAAAUAUCCUGCUGUUGAAUCAGAUAAAUCUGUGGUCAAAGGAGCCAAAGCCAGUUCAAAGAAAUGCUUGGCUAGGAAUGCACAGCUCCUGGCAAGGCCAUUGUUUCAACAGGGCAACAGAUGAGCUCCAGACAUUAUUUCGGUGAGGCACUGAUGGGCUCAGCUGCAUCACCAAACAGUGCAAGGAGGCUGAGGCAAUCCAACACCACUCUUUUUCGUAAAACAUUCUCACCAUCAGCUUACAGGCAUAAGUGAGAAGGCAAGGAGGAGAAGGGAACACCUCUCUCACAGUGGAAUGCCCUGAAAUCAUACAAGCUUAAUGUAGUCUUCCUCCUCAGUAAUGCUGCUAAGACAGCUGAAACAGAUCCCACCUUUUCCCUGCCUGUCUGCUGCCACUCCAGUGAUGUCCUGGGCCAGCUGCUGUGUAGCUGCUCAGGACUACCUCAGGGAACUGAUCUACAGAAAAAAAAAAUGGCAUUAUUUCUCAGGUGUGCCAGGUCACUUUAUCCACUUUAUACAAUAGGGGCACAAACAACAGAAGGGCAGCAAGAGGAUGGAAGAAAUGGCUGGGAACAGAUCUCUCAGGAGUAACAUGCCACCAACCCCAUCCCAACAAAGGGAUGCAUGCUGAGUCUUCAUCAUCUUGCCAUUAAACACCACCAUUUUAGUGUGGUUGUGCAGCUAAGUAAGCCCCACAGCUGCUAUAAUUCUCUAGCAGAGCAGAUAAUGUGGCUGAUUAAGGAUCAGAGGGAGGUAAGACAGACCCAAGUCAAUGACUCCCUGCAGCUCUCCUUAAACCCCAUCCAAUAAGAAAGAGUAAAUUAAAUAUUGUGGUAUCUUCUGCAUUGAAUGAGUUAAAGUUCAGGAUUGGCAAUUAUCUACCAAAAAGGAUAUUAUUCUAAUAAUCCUAUUAUUCUAUUAUAUCUAAUUCUUAUUCUUCAAUAGAUAUGGGGGAAAACAAGUGUUCUUGAGAAUCUUUUUGAAACUGUACUUUGGCAUGAAAACCAGAUCUGUGCUCUCAGAUGUCUCACUACAGUGCAUUUCAGGGUAUGUUUGUGUGAGGCUUGUUUUGCUUAUGUGAGCAAACUGCAGCCUGUCCUCUGACAGCAAAGGAACUAUGCAGUAAUAUCUUACAGUCCCAGAGAAGUGGAUUUGGGAUUCUUCCCUUGUGAGUAGCACUACAUGGUAUAUUUCUCUUAAGGUGCCCUACCCUCUGGCCUUGGCUCAUAGGUGAACAACAUGUUGUUAAGAUAAAUAAGGUAGGUCAGAAGUCAAAGCCCUGUGCCUGCAUAUCUCUCCAAGUACACAAACAAAUGCAGAAGAAAUCGCCAAAUUAUUUUUAAACUACAAAAGUGACUUAAACUAAGAUGCUAGGAUGGAUAUUGCAAAACCAGAUGAAUGAAGGAAUACCAAAAAGCCCAUGCACUUGCUUUUUGUGGAGGUAAGAGAUAACUGAGAUAUUAAUGCUUCAAUGGAACUGAAGAAAGUACAGAAUAGUAUUUACAUGGUUUCAUCGUCUGCAGUCAGAGCUUAGUUUGUGUCCUGCUUUUCCAGUGGCAUCAAUGGGUUUGUGCAACUUUUAUGCAUGAAUUCCAAGAGCCUUUUUUGGGUGAUGUAGAUGAAAAAAAACCUUUUCUGUACCAGAAGGCGCAACCACCAGAGAACCUCCCCUAACAAACCUCCUGCCGAGUCCCAAGGCUCCACCACUGCAGUGGUGACUGUCAGACCAGAUAAUGGAAUCAGGGCAUGUGGCAGAAAAACAAGUUUAGUGGCACAUACAGCCUUCAAAAAUUCAUGUACCGUUUGGCUUAAUAAUUCCUCUCUUCAAAUACUGCCCUCCUGAUCUGAACUGCCCACUGAUACUUAGAAAGAGGUUUCAGUUUGUACAGCAGCUGGGGUGGGGGAUUUCCCUUAACUUUACUGUUCCAUAUUUAUUUUAAAAAAAGAGAUUCUGGUAACAAAACCAAGUCAUGGACUUGGGCAAGAACUACCUGUUACUUGUUCAAAUGUCUCUAGUGCAGAUGGCCCAACACAGUCCACCUCAGGGUAAUGCAUGCCACAUAUUGGAAACUGCUACCAGCUGGCUUUCAGGUAGAAGUUAUGAAGAAUUAAAACUCUACAAUAAAAGAAGAAAAGCAGAGUGUGAAAUAUAUGGAUAUUAAAACACUUUCCAAAAGGAACAAACCCCCUUGCUUCUUUUUUGGUCCAAUUCUACAAGCUACAAACAAAUAUAACUACCAAAAAUCAGGACACGUAAGAGUAAUUGCAGAAUAGUUUGUGAGCUCUUAGUAUGAAACUACUUUUUAUAGCUCUAGAGUAUAUGUAUAUAUGUGUAUAUAUAUAUAUAUAUAUAAAAUAUGCUGUGGAAAUAUUGACACAAUCUGAAAAGCAGAAAUUACAUGGAGGAGAGGAGGAUACAGGAAUAUGCAAGUACUGGGAAGAAAACACUGUUGGAGGCAAAGUGGAGAAAAUCAGAGGUGAAUAUGAAAAAGAAGCUCAAGACAGUGCUGGUCAUCCCAACCAGUGUCUGGCAUCUGAUCUGGAGGAUGCCAGGUUUCCACUUCCUUAGUGUUUCUUACUGCAGAUGUGAGAAUAUAAAACAUGUGUCAGAGCUUUUUCCUUGACCCAGGGGGAAAACAUGACAUUUUCCCUUGAUUUCUGUGACAGUCAAGUUCCAGGGCCUUGGAACCCAGCUUGGAGCAAGCAGGUGCUAACUCACAGGCAAGCAACUGGGCACUGUAAAAAACUUCUCUCACUUGGCAACAAGCUAUUGAAUACCAGCUGCUGGGUGCUGAGGUGAUUUGUGAUUAGGAUCCACCUGAAUCAAGAGAGGGCAUAUGGGCAAAAGAAAAAAGACAGGCUGGGUAAGCAGUGUGGUUUUUCAGAAGGAUGACUUAGCAAGAUAAAUCAGCUUGUUUCAGGAGGUACGUGGAUUUAUGCCUCAUCUGGGGGUAUAUUUAAUCUCAAGGAAACUAUUUGCAGCAAAUCCACUUUGAAAGUGGGCUUCAGAAUAUACAUGCAAGAUUGAUAACUUAGCCCUGUCUGCAAUGGCAACGAACUCUUGGAGGGAAACUACUCUUACUUGCCUUGAGAGUUUCAGGUCAAGGCUACAUCAGACACUAAUGCCUCUAGUAAAUGCUCCAAACUACUUGUCUAGCUACUUGCACUAUUGUUUAACUGCAUAUGCUACAACCAUAUGCUAAAACUUGUACAGAAGAAGCUGUGCUCCCAAACAUAGAGAGCCAGCAGAAAGGUGACUUUGUAAUUCAUCUGUAAAUCAAUCGUAUUAGGAAAGGAAGAGGGCUGAGGCUUUUUUCAGGAAUGGAUGGUUCAUCCUGUCUCAAGUAAAAUCAUACACCAGUCAGUAAGACUGCAUCAACCAAACAUCAAAUUGUGGAGUGGAGCACAAGAAGGUCUGCAAGGAAGGGUUUUAUAGAUCCUGUGAUCCAAAGGAAAGCAUUUAUUCUUUGUAUAACAGGCAGCUAGAAAGCAAGUAUGGAGCAUGCAGAGGAGAUGUGUGCAACUGGGUCAGCAAGACCCAGCAAGGAUGGUCCAGCAAGGACAAUUCUGGGAGAUAAAUGAUCAGGUACCUAGAAUGGGUCUGAGUUAAGAAGCUGGUUGUGUAAUAAAAUCCCUUCUGGGUUUUGUUGUUAGAAACAAACAGUUCAAGUAACAGAUGGACACUUAAAAUAUUUUUUGUCUUUUCUUCCUCUAACCUAGACUGCAGCCUGACUUGAACAGUACUUCAGGCCUGACCUCAUCAUCAGCUGUAGUUCUCUCCAUGCAUAGCAUUCCAGACUGGAUUUGGAUUGCAUGUUGUGUUUGCUCUCAGCUUCUCCUGGAUCUAGAUUGUCCCUGAAUACAUUUCAGUUUCAGACUGAAAGAUACCACAAUGUUUCACACAAGUCAUAUUAGCCUGCGCACACCCCACACACCCUUCUGGGUCACUCCCUUGAAGAGAAAUGUUUUUUUGUGCUGGACUGAACAGCACAUUUGAAUGACAAAUGAGCAUUGAAUUAAAAGAGCAAUUCUAAACUGAA